rnacentral:tRNA from 1 species
GCCUGGGUGGCUCAGUAGGUUAAGCAUCUGACUUUGGCUCAGGUCAUGAUCUCAUGGUUUGUGAGUUUGGGCCCCACCUUGGGUG